UAUAUAUAUAUGUGUGUGUGUGUGUGUGUGUGUUGCAUGCAAAAAUCACAAAAGUAUGAUAUGAAGAGAGUAUGAAUGGAAUAUUUUGGUACUCCGGCGGAGGGUUUGAUUUCUCCGGUGAAGGUGAGGGAGAUACUGCACCUGGGGAAGGAGAGACGACCAGUGUGUAUGUGUCAAUGGAAUUUUGGGGUGUCGGGUUUUUGUUGAUUAUUUGGAGUGUAUAGUGGGAGUGUGGUGAGAAUGGAUCUGCACCACAAACUUGUGUUGGGGGCUCUUAGAUUUGUAUUUAUGUUUUUGUGGUCUCUCUCUCUCGUUUUUAU
rnacentral:lncRNA from 1 species